rnacentral:rRNA from 1 species
CACGUGGUAUCCUGUCUGAAUAUGGGGGGACCAUCCUCCAAGGCUAAAUACUCCUGACUGACCGAUAGUGAACCAGUACCGUGAGGGAAAGGCGAAAAGAACCCCGGCGAGGGGAGUGAAAAAGAACCUGAAACCGUGUACGUACAAGCAGUGGGAGCACCCUUUGGGUGUGACUGCGUACCUUUUGUAUAAUGGGUCAGCGACUUAUAUUCUGUAGCAAGGUUAACCGAAUAGGGGAGCCGGAGGGAAACCGAGUCUUAACCGGGCGUUAAGUUGCAGGGUAUAGACCCGAAACCCGGUGAUCUAGCCAUGGGCAGGUUGAAGGUUGGGUAACACUAACUGGAGGACCGAACCGACUAAUGUUGAAAAAUUAGCGGAUGACCUGUGGCUGGGGGUGAAAGGCCAAUCAAACCGGGAGAUAGCUGGUUCUCCCCGAAAGCUAUUUAGGUAGCGCCUCGUGAAUUCAUCUCCGGGGGUAGAGCACUGUUUCGGCUAGGGGGCCAUCCCGGCUUACCAACCCGAUGCAAACUGCGAAUACCGGAGAAUGUUAUCACGGGAGACACACGGCGGGUGCUAACGUCCGUCGUGAAGAGGGAAACAACCCAGACCGCCAGCUAAGGUCCCAAAGUCAUGGUUAAGUGGGAAACGAUGUGGGAAGGCCCAGACAGCCAGGAUGUUGGCUUAGAAGCAGCCAUCAUUUAAAGAAAGCGUAAUAGCUCACUGGUCGAGUCGGCCUGCGCGGAAGAUGUAACGGGGCUAAACCAUGCACCGA